rnacentral:ncRNA from 2 species
UAACUGCAUAGCUCUAAUGGUCACUGACAAAAUUAUUUGAUCAGUGUUAAAAAGGAAAUCAGUGAAAAUCUGAUACAGUCACCUCUGCCGUGAAAGUAAUUUGAAAUCGGAAUACUUGCCAUUACACACUUAAAGUU